rnacentral:rRNA from 1 species
CCUACGGGCGGCAGCAGUGGGGAAUAUUGGACAAUGGGGGCAACCCUGAUCCAGCCAUGCCGCGUGUGUGAAGAAGGCCCUCGGGUUGUAAAGCACUUUCAGUGAGGAAGAACGCCUGGUGGUUAAUACCCAUCAGGAAAGACAUCACUCACAGAAGAAGCACCGGCUAACUCCGUGCCAGCAGCCGCGGUAAUACGGAGGGUGCGAGCGUUAAUCGGAAUUACUGGGCGUAAAGCGCGCGUAGGUGGCUUGAUAAGCCGGUUGUGAAAGCCCCGGGCUCAACCUGGGAACGGCAUCCGGAACUGUCAAGCUAGAGUGCAGGAGAGGAAGGUAGAAUUCCCGGUGUAGCGGUGAAAUGCGUAGAGAUCGGGAGGAAUACCAGUGGCGAAGGCGGCCUUCUGGACUGACACUGACACUGAGAUGCGAAAGCGUGGGUAGCAAACAGGAUUAGAUACCCUGGUAGUC